rnacentral:rRNA from 1 species
UGAUCGGUACGGGUUGUGAGAGCAAGAGCCCGGAGAUGGAUUCUGAGACACGAAUCCAGGCCCUACGGGGUGCAGCAGGCGCGAAAACUUUACAAUGCUGGCAACAGCGAUAAGGGAACCUCGAGUGCCAGGUUACAAAUCUGGCUGUCGUGAUGCCUAAAAAGCAUUGCAUAGCAAGGGCCGGGCAAGACCGGUGCCAGCCGCCGCGGUAACACCGGCGGCUCGAGUGGUAACCGUUAUUAUUGGGUCUAAAGGGUCUGUAGCCGGCCGGAUAAGUCUCUUGGGAAAUCUGGCAGCUCAACUGUCAGGCUUUCAGGAGAUACUGUCUGGCUCGAGGCCGGGAGAGGUGAGAGGUACUUCAGGGGUAGGGGUGAAAUCUUGUAAUCCUUGAAGGACCACCAGUGGCGAAGGCGUCUCACCAGAACGGACCUGACGGCAAGGGACGAAAGCUAGGGGCACGAACCGGAUUAGAUACCCGGGUAGUCCUAGCCGUAAACGAUACUCGCUAGGUGUCGGCCACGGUGCGACCGUUGUCGGUGCCGUAGGGAAGCCGUGAAGCGAGC